AAGUCGUAACAAGGUCUCCGUUGGUGAACCAGCGGAGGGAUCAUUACAAGAGUUCUAUACUCCAAACCCAAUGUGUAUCUACCUGUAGUUUGCUUUGGCAGGCGGUCCCGGGGGGACCAGCUGCCCGGCCUUCGGGCUGGGUGCCUGCCGAAGGACUGCUAAACUCUGUUAUUCUUGCCAUCUGAGCACUACAUCCAUCCGAAAGGAUAGGAGAAAAUGAAUCAAAACUUUCAACAACGGAUCUCUUGGUUCUG
rnacentral:misc_RNA from 1 species